UCAGGAAGAUGCAGCUGGACAAUCCGGCGUUCCGCUAUGCCGUCCAGCUCGACCGGAGCGGCUGCGUUGCCAAUUUCAUCUGGGUGGAUGCUCGUGCAGGGUCACUGUACAGGUGGUUUGGGGACGCGGUGGUGUUUGAUCUCACCUGCACGAGGAACCGCCGUGUCGUGCCGUUCGCGGCGUUCACCGGAUUGAACCAUCACAGGCAGAUCAUCGUGUUCGGGUGCGCUCUCAUGACAGAUGAGAACGAGGAUUCCUUCGUGUGGUUGUUUGAGACUUGGCUUGCUUUCAUGGGUGGGAAGAAACCAAUGUCGUUCACAAUUGGUUACAAUAGGGCUGUUGAGAUGGCUGCCAGGAGGAUCUUCGGCGAUGUUAGAUGCCGGUUUUGUCGACAGGACAUUUUCUCCAUCUGCAAGCAGAAGUUGGCUGGUUUGUAUUCGGAACAUUCGACGCUCAAGCAAGAAUUGAAGGAAUGUGUAAUUGAAUCGGAAAUGAUCGAUGAGUUUGAGUCGACUUGGAGAAUGUUGCUUAGUAAGUACAAUCUUUUUGGGAAUGAAUGGUUGCAGACGAUUUAUAAUAUCCGUCGUCAGUGGGUGCCUGCCUAUCUUAAGGACAGCUUCUUUGGAGAGCUCCUCAAUGCCCCAAAGUUGGAGGUGAUGUUUAAGUUUUUUCAGAGGAACUCCAUCACUGCCACUACCCUACGGGAUAUUGCCUUUCAGUUUGAUAAGGCUAUAGCAAGGGAUUAUCAAAACGAACUCCAGGAAGACUUUGCAACUUUCAGUAGCAAGCCGGUAAUGAAGACUUCACAUCCAAUGGAGAAACAAGCAUCAGAGCUCUACACCAAAGUUAUGUUUGACUUCUUCCAGGAUGAGCUUAUUGAAUCAUCAGAAUUUUCAGUGCAAACUGUUGAAAGUGGGGACAUCAGCAAAUUUGAGGUAACCAGAGCUGAAAAUGACAAUAAAAGAUAUUCUGUUGUUUAUAAUGAACCGGGUGCGAGUGUAUCUUGCAGUUGUCACAAAUUUGAGUUUGUUGGCAUGCUGUGCCGUCACGCACUAAGGGUUUUGAUGGCUAUUGGCAUGCCAUUGCUUCCUGAAAAUUAUAUUUUGAAAAGGUGGACAAGAAAUGCCAAGAGCAACAUAUUAUCUCAAGUUCCAGAAAACACAAAAGGGCCUUUGGCUUGGCGCUGCAAUGAUUUGUGCCGUGAUGCUAUGAGAUUUGCCGAGGAAGGUGCAACAUCUGUGGAGAUUUACAAAACUGCCAAGGAGGCUUUGCAGAAGGCAUUUGCUGAGAUUUUGCUACAAAGAGAAGUCCAGUGAAAACAAUCAGGCAUGUAGCAGACAUAACGAGAUCAUGAACUUGUCCUGUCGCCAUUCAAGACUACACUGGAGCUAGAUGCACUUUGUAAAGGGUAAGUGCACUGUUUUCCAUUGUACAUCUUUUUAUCCUUUUCAGAAGUAUGGCGAAUCAAGUUUGUCAUCGCUUCGUGGUAUGCAUCAGUUUCUUUUAUUGGAUGUACGUAUCGUGCCGAAUACUGUAUUGGCAUACCAUUGCCUAGUUUAUCAUCACUCUGAAUGAGCAGAAUUACAGGAAGCAACAACAUAACAACACUACAGUUGGCUUCCUCCAUUAGCAACCCACAGCUUCACUUGAUUACCAAUGAAGAACCAAGACCAUCUGCCAGACUGCCAUGGUCCUUUCUUGGGCUACAUGGUGCACAAGAGAGAAGCAGCAGCAGGUAGAAUUAGAGCUCUCAAAGACCAAUCUUUCUCCAAGACUCAAUUUCGUGCACCAGCUACCACCAUCUACCCAAAAGUCAGUCCUUAACUAACAACAGUGACUCCCAUAACAUCCACUCCAUGUGAAACCAAGAUCUGCUGCUGCAUUUUGGCCUGCAUGAAUGGCAGACCUUCCUGCAUGAUUGUAGAAAUUGUCUGCUUGCAGCUAUGCUACUGUGUACAAACCUCACCAGUUACCCCCCCCUUUCCUUAGCACACCUCAUGGCAACACUAUUUGUGGCUGCAAGAUCUGUCCGUCCACUCUGCUGCUUGGAUGUCCGCAACACCAUUUUCAGCAGUGAAAAACAUGACAACAACAAAAGGGGAUGUUCUCCCAAAACCAGGAUCUGCUUCUGUUUAUGAUGAUGAUCAUCAUCAUAAUCGUCACUAAAUGAAGCUUGUGCAAAUACUGUCUUUUGUUUUGCAUUACACUACCUAGAUUUCCUGGAAUGGCUGGAAUAAUCCAACCACGAUGGUACAUCAUAGUUAGGCCUUGUUUAGUUGCCAAAAAUAUUUGUCCAAAAGAUCACGUCGAAUGUCGGAAGGGAUUUUCG